rnacentral:lncRNA from 1 species
UUUCGUAUCUUAGGAUUUCAUAUCAGUUCAUAUCAAUUUACAUUAUUCAAUACUGGAAGCUACUAUUUUUUACAGAUUUUCAUUCUCGAUAUUAACAAAAUGAGAACCAUGAUGAUGUAUUCAGGUUUUCUGUUGAUCUGUAUAUUCGCAUUGUCAGAGCAGUGUCAUUGUCCGGGCUAUUAUACACAGGAAAUUGUUUGUGACAGAACAAUAG